CCUAGUUGACUGUAUUGUCCACUUCAUUGACUUUGCAAACACGCACCAAAAAUUUUGGAAGACCCCUCUGUAGUUCACUAUUAAAGCCGCAACAAUCUCUUUGCCACCUCUAACACUUCAGGGAUCCCAGUAUUCCUGUAGCUGUUUGCACAUCCCAAAGUAUCCCAGCAGCUGAGGUGAUUGCACACCAUCAUUGCCAGGGCUUGAAGACCAAGAGAAAUAAACAUUCAUCUGGUGCUGGACUAAAUGAAAUUUGAGGUUGAUUCAGACCAUAAAGUUCUGUGAAGGGCUUUUGAGAACGAUGGAAGCGAUAGCAAUGAUGUCAAUUUAAAAUAAAUAAAUACAUAAAACCUCUUGAAGCUGACAAAGUAGGAGAUAGGAUGUUUAAAACUUUCAUAUAUAGGUUGUUCAUAUUAGGGUGGGAGGUCAGGUAUAUUGGAAACACAUAGAGUAUAUUUGGAUCCAGAUGACUAUCAGGUGGCCUCUCAAAUAGAUCCAUGUCCUACUCCCCCAAAACUGUGAAUGUUACCUUCUAUGGAAAAAGGGACUUAGCAUGUGUGAUUCUAUUAAGGAUCUUGAGAUUUACCAGGAUUAUCCAGGUUGAUCCAAUCUAAACAAAACAGUCCUUAAAAAAGGGAUGUAGGAGCAGUUGGAGUCAGAGGAGGGGCCAUGCAGUGACAGAAGCAGAUUCAGCAAUGCUCAGUGAUGGUGAAGGAA